rnacentral:snRNA from 1 species
CUUUACCAUUUCCGUUGGU